CCAGGCAACAAGAGGGGAUUUCCCUCAAACCCUAAAAUUCACAAAAAUCCAUCAAUUGAAGGUGCAAAUCAAGUCCGAAUUGAAAUCUGAAUAUAGGGUUGUGAUCAUCUUGACUAAGAGAUUGUAAGGCAACACGAGUGAGGCGUCGGGAAGUCAAGCCGGUGCGGACGCUCGCCAAAAGGGAAAGCUCUAAGUAAGAAGAUGUCGGGAGGUGCUAGUGACAAUGUUCUAUCCCUCACUACCGACGAGUUGAAAGAGAAGAUUGCCGAGGAAGUUGGUAGGGC